rnacentral:rRNA from 1 species
GCUCGUAGUUGGAUUCCUGACCUGGGGUAGCCGGUCCGCCUUGCAAAAGGUGCGCACUGAGCGGCCUCGGUCAUCCUUGAGAAGAGCGGUCCUGGCAUUCAGUUGUCGGGGUCGGGAUUCUCGACGUUUACUGUGAAAAAAUCAGAGUGUUCAACGCAGGCUUACGCCUUGAAUACAUUAGCAUGGAAUAAUGAGAUAGGACCUUGGCGGUCUAUUUUGUUGGUUUGCACGCCGAGGUAAUGAUUAAAAGGGACGGUUGGGGUUCUUCGUAUUCAAUUGUCAGAGGUGAAAUUCUUGGAUUUAUGGAAGACGAACUGCUGCGAAAGCGUCGAACAAGGACGUUCUCAUUAAUCAAGAACGAAAGUUAGGGGAUCGAAGAUGAUUAGAUACCAUCGUAGUCUUAACCAUAAACUAUGCCGAUUCAGGAUUGGCGGUCGUUUGUUCUCGACUCCGUCAGCACUGUAUGAGAAAUCAAAAUCUUUGGGUUCCGGGGGGAGUAUGGUCGCAAGGCUGAAACUUAAAGAAAUUGACGGAAGGGCACCACCAGGAGUGGAGCCUGCGGCUUAAUUUGACUCAACACGGGGAAACUUACCAGGUCCAGACAUAGUAAGGAUUGACAGAUUGAGAGCUCUUUCUUGAUUCUAUGGGGUGGUGGUGCAUGGCCGUUCUU